rnacentral:rRNA from 1 species
UACGGGGGGUGCGAGCGUUGUCCGGAAUCACUGGGCGUAAAGGGCGCGUAGGUGGCGUGAUAAGGGUGUGGUGAAAGCCCGGGGCUCAACCCCGGGUCGGCCAUGCCGACUGUCAGGCUAGAGUGCUGUAGGGGCAGGCGGAAUUCCGGGUGUAGCGGUGGAAUGCGUAGAGAUCCGGAGGAAGACCGGUGGCGAAGGCGGCCUGCUGGGCAGUUACUGACACUGAGGCGCGACAGCGUGGGGGAGCAAACAGG